CUGCAACAAACCUGGGAGUACAGAUACCUCUUUUGAUCUACUUAUUUCCUUUCUUUUGGGUAAGUACCAGCAGUAUAAUUGCUGGAUUGUUUGGUAGCUCUAUUUUUAGUUUCUUGAGGACCCUCCAAACUGUUUUUUAGAGUGCUUGUGCUAAUCACAUUCCUACCAACAGUGUACAAGUGUUCCCUUUUCUCCACAUUCUCAUCAAUAUUUGUUAUUGUCUGUCUUUUGGAUUGGAGCCAUUUUAGCUGCGGACACAGAAAUGCUUCCCUCCAUGACACUGCUGCUGCUGAGGGAUGGAGGAGGGAUGGCAUCAGCAAUUCAAGAUCAUUUUCCUACCUCUUCAGUGUCUCUUUCAGCGAUAAAAAGUUAAAAGCAGUUGACCCUUGAACAACUUGGAUUUAUACUGCACAAGUCCACUUAUAUGCAUAUUUUCUACCACCUUUGCCACCCC
rnacentral:lncRNA from 1 species